ACGGAAGGCAGCAGUGGGGAAUAUUGCACAAUGGGCGAAAGCCUGAUGCAGCGACGCCGCGUGAGCGAAGAAGUAUUUCGGUAUGUGAAGCUCUAUCAGCAGGGAAGAUAAUGACGGUACCUGACUAAGAAGCACCGGCUAAAUACGUGCCAGCAGCCGCGGUAAUACGUAUGGUGCAAGCGUUAUCCGGAUUUACUGGGUGUAAAGGGAGCGUAGGCGGUUUUACAAGUCUGAUGUGAAAGCCCGGGGCUCAACUCCGGUAUUGCAUUGGAAACUGUAGAACUAGAGUGUCGGAGGGGUAAGUGGAAUUCCUAGUGUAGCGGUGAAAUGCGUAGAUAUUAGGAGGAACACCAGUGGCGAAGGCGGCUUACUGGACGAUUACUGACGCUGAGGCUCGAAAGCGUGGGGAGCAAACAGGAUUAGAUACCCUGGUA
rnacentral:rRNA from 1 species